GUAGGGAAUAUUGGGCAAUGGAGGCAACUCUGACCCAGCCAUGCCGCGUGCAGGAUGACGGCCCUCUGGGUUGUAAACUGCUUUUAUACGGGAAGAAAAAAUACUACGUGUAGUAUACUGACGGUACCGUAAGAAUAAGGAUCGGCUAACUCCGUGCCAGCAGCCGCGGUAAUACGGAGGAUCCAAGCGUUGUCCGGAUUUAUUGGGUUUAAAGGGUGCGUAGGCGGAUCUUUAAGUCAGUGGUGAAAGCCUGCAGCUUAACUGUAGAAUUGCCAUUGAAACUGAAGAUCUUGAAGGUGGUUAAAGUAGGCGGAAUGUAUCAUGUAGCGGUGAAAUGCUUAGAUAUGAGACAGAACACCGAUAGCGAAGGCAGCUUGCUGAACCAUUAUUGACGCUGAGGCACGAAAGCGUGGGGAGCGAACAGGAUUAGAAACCCCGGUAGUCC
rnacentral:rRNA from 1 species